GUCCACACAGUAAACGAUGAAUACUCGCUGUUGGCGAUACACAGUCAGCGGCCAAGCGAAAGCAUUAAGUAUUCCACCUGGGGAGUACGCCGGCAACGGUGAAAACUCAAAAGGAAUUGACGGGGGCCCGCACAAGCGGAGGAACAUGUGGUUUAAUUCGAUGAUACGCGAGGAACCUUACCCGGGCUUAAAAUUGCAGCGGAAUGUAGUGGAAACAUUACAGCCUUCGGGCCGCUGUGAAGGUGCUGCAUGGUUGUCGU
rnacentral:rRNA from 1 species